CACUUGGUCAUGGCAUAAAUCCUUUGUAUAUGUUGUUGGAUUUCAUUUGCUAGUAUUUUGUUGAGGAUUUUUGUAUUUAAAUUCUUGAA